rnacentral:rRNA from 1 species
UACGUAGGCAGCAAGCUGUUGGUGAUGUACUGGGCGUAAAGGGUGCGUAGGCGGUUGUUUAAGUUUGGUGUGAAAUCUCCCGGCUCAACUGGGAGGGUGCGCCGAAUACUGAAUGACUAGAGUGCGGGAGAGGAGAGUGGAAUUCCUGGUGUAGCGGUGAAAUGCGUAGAUAUCAGGAGGAACACCGGUGGCGAAGGCGGGUCUCUGGGCCGUAACUGACGCUGAGGAGCGAAAGCAUGGGGAGCGAACAGG